AAAACCUCAUUCAUGAAUGCUUGAAACACUGAGGGUGAGUUGGAAAGGCCAUACAGCAUGACGUGAUAUUCGUAGUGGCCUGAUGGUUUUAUAAAGACGGUCUUCCAUCCAUGACCCUCGCAGAUCCAAAUGAGGAUAUACGUGCUACGCAGGUCCAAUUUGGAGAAGACGCAGGCUCCAGGCAGUUGCUCAAGGGUGCCAACAGAAACCAGAUCUAAGCCAGCAAUAACUGGCUGAUCCAUGCCAGGACGUGCCACCCUGUCCUGCCACUGCCACUGACUAAAGUCAUCAGCUCCACCAACUACAAAAGAGGAGGAAUGGGGCAAGGACAAAUCAUGAGUGGAAUAUGAAAAUAAAUUAACUGAGGUCAGUAGUUUGGGUAAUUUCUCAAAUAAUUUCACUUUUAACUACUUUACUACUACACUUUACUACUACAGUUUUACAGCCUUAAGGUCACAUUAGCAAACUGUCCACCUUCAGGUCGUUGUACACAUCUGAUUUACUGAUUUCCUAAAGUAAACAUAAAAAUAACAUUAAUAUUGUUAAAAAUGUUUUAAGAUGAUUUUUAAGAGACAUCUAUUUUUAUCUCCCAUUCAGCAUUCCAGUGCAUUAUGUAUUUUUUGUUUUGUAUACAAAUUAAGCAUUUAAAAACAUACCAUCUUACUAAGACAUAUUAUUUAUUAUAGUAGCCUGUUAUACUGUUACAAAGAUCUGGUUGAUUUACAUUCCAAGUUAUCAGAAUUUUAUUGUGGCCAUAUAAAUAUCAGCAACUGUACCAAAUUUAUUAUUUUGCUAAGUUUGGGAACUGAAUAAAACUGAAGUGUAUGAGUAUGAUCUCCAUAUUAUCAUACAUCAUACUAUAUGAGCCAUAAAAGCCUGAUGCAUCAAAUAUGAUACUCAACAAAAAAUACAUAUGCAGACUUUUUUUAUUAUUAUUAUUUUUUAAUUAUUAUUAUUUAUGCAGAUUGGAUAAAAAUUAAAAAAAUAGAUUGUUCUAUUAUUUCAAAAAUCAGGCUUUAUAUAGUUAAUGUUAUUACUUGCUAUUUUUUGUUAACAUGCACUUUUCUAGUAUUUCAUGUUUCAGGCUAAUAUUAUUACUAUUGCUAUUCUUUGUGACCAAGCAGGGUUUUCUCAUACUAUAAGUGUUGCUUUAAGAUGUUGACAGCAGGAAUACAUAUUUGUUUGUUUGUUUAGAGAAAUAGCCUUUGACAUACAGUACUAACAAAUUCUGAAUCAAAAUUUAAAUAGUUAACCCCUGACUGGUGUGGUAAUGACCAUUACUUCGAAAUCCUACAGCUAACAUGAUUCUUACAUUCAUGAGAAUUUUCCCCUGAAGUUUAUUUGAGAGA
ensembl:lncRNA